ACACUCCUGCGGGAGGCAGCAGUGGGGAAUUUUGGACAAUGGGCGAAAGCCUGAUCCAGCAAUGCCGCGUGAGUGAAGAAGGCCUUCGGGUUGUAAAGCUCUUUUGUCAGGGAAGAAACGGUGAAAGCUAAUAUCUUUUGCUAAUGACGGUACCUCAAGAAUAAGCACCGGCUAACUACGUGCCAGCAGCCGCGGUAAUACGUAGGGUGCAAGCGUUAAUCGGAAUUACUGGGCGUAAAGCGUGCGCAGGCGGUUUUGUAAGUCUGAUGUGAAAUCCCCGGGCUCAACCUGGGAAUUGCAUUGGAGACUGCAAGGCUAGAAUCUGGCAGAGGGGGGUAGAAUUCCACGUGUAGCAGUGAAAUGCGUAGAUAUGUGGAGGAACACCGAUGGCGAAGGCAGCCCCCUGGGUCAAGAUUGACGCUCAUGCACGAAAGCGUGGGGAGCAAACAGGAUUAGAUACCCUGGUAGUCCCAUGA
rnacentral:rRNA from 1 species